GAAUAGCUCAGUCGGUAGAGCAUGAGACUCUUAAUCUCAGUGUUGUGGGUUCAAGUCCCACAUGAGGCA